rnacentral:rRNA from 1 species
UACGUAGGGGGCAAGCGUUGUCCGGAUUUAUUGGGCGUAAAGAGCGUGUAGGCGGCCAGACAGGUCCGUUGUGAAAACUAGAGGCUUAACCUCUAGACGUCGAUGGAAACCGUCUGGCUAGAGUCCGGAAGAGGAGAAUGGAAUUCCUGGUGUAGCGGUGAAAUGCGCAGAUAUCAGGAAGAACACCCGUGGCUAAGGCGGUUCUCUAGUACGGGACUGACGCUGAGACGCGAAAGCGUGGGGAGCGAACAGG